rnacentral:rRNA from 1 species
UGGGGAAUAUUGGACAAUGGGCGCAAGCCUGAUCCAGCCAUGCCGCGUGAGUGACGAAGGUCUUCGGAUUGUAAAGCUCUUUUUAGCAGGGAAGAUAAUGACGGUACCUGCAGAAUAAGCCCCGGCUAACUUCGUGCCAGCAGCCGCGGUAAUACAGAGGGUGCAAGCGUUAAUCGGAAUUACUGGGCGUAAAGCGCGCGUAGGUGGUUUGUUAAGUUGGAUGUGAAAUCCCCGGGCUCAACCUGGGAACUGCAUUCAAAACUGACGACCUGGACUUAAGUAGAGGCAAGUGGAAUUGCGAGUGUAGAGGUGAAAUUCGUAGAUAUUCGCAGGAACACCAGUGGCGAAGGCGACUUGCUGGACUUAUGGUGACGCUGAGACGCGAAAGCGUGGGGAGCAAACAGGAUUAGAUACCCGCGUAGUCCCUGAGCGGGCUGGCAAGGCGCAU